ensembl:lncRNA
UGUCACACAAUUCAUGCAUCCAGUACAGGGUAAAGAAUCAGUUUUACACAAAUUGGUGCUGUUCCAGUGAAAGUUUCUACCAGUCAAUCAGGAUGGAACAGAAGGGGACUCCUCUUUGGAAAGAUAGAAUUUGCUGAAGCUCUCAGAACCACUCUCAGGAGUCAUCCACGUGCUCGGUGGUUGCUGCUCUCUUCAGAGAUUAUAAUCUCCUUCAAGCAGAGACUCAUCUUCUUGCACAACUCUGAAUGCCACUGAAGUCAGAAACUGCACAGCCAUCAACACCGAGAUAAUGCAGAAGCAGGGCUGAACAGAGGACAAUAACGUUUUCUGUGUCACAUUAGCAUCUCAGUGAUAUCUUAAAUGGGAAUGAAAAUCAUGAUAAGCAGUGUGGACACCAUUCAUUCCAAAAGCCAGUAUUUAAAACCCUGAUGUAUUUUGCAAUUCUAUAUCUGAAAGAACAGCUAGGAGUGCCAUGAUCUGCCCCUUUGACAGCCAUGGGAGGUAGAUAUAGAGAAGACAGCCUCAGGCAUGGAUCUGCAGUCACUGCCAGGUACAAAAUUCUCCAAUUUGCAAUGCCACGUGAAAGAUCUCCUGCUGUUUGAGUGCACGUAUGGCCAGCCCAUCUACGAGCAGAUUAAGUAACCCUUCUUUGAUGGACAAUUUUGUUCAACUUUCUUCAUCACAGGCUAAAGUACAUGAGAAGGUAUUAUCAACAUCUGAAAAUAAACUUGCUAUAAUGAGAUUAAUAUGGUUGGUUGAUUACAUUCAGUCAUCAUUUUCUAACCCUGAUUUUAAUUUCGCUCCACAUUUUAAGUUCGUGCUAUAUAAACUCAUAUUUACUUUCUUAUGCUCCUCACUGCACUCAGUUUUCCAAGUUGCUUUCUAAUUUGCUUUAAUCUUCA